GCAGAACGCGAAGAACCUUACCUACUCUUGACAUCCAGAGAACUUAGCAGAGAUGCUUUGGUGCCUUCGGGGACUCUGAGACAGGUGCUGCAUGGCUGUCGUCAGCUCGUGUUGUGAAAUGUUGGGUUAAGUCCCGCAACGAGCGCAACCCUUAUCCUUUGUUGCCAGCGGUUCGGCCGGGAACUCAAAGGAGACUGCCAGUGAUAAACUGGAGGAAGGUGGGGAUGACGUCAAGUCAUCAUGGCCCUUACGAGUAGGGCUACACACGUGCUACAAUGGCGCAUACAAAGAGAAGCGACCUCGCGAGAGCAAGCGGACCUCAUAAAGUGCGUCGUAGUCCGGAUUGGAGUCUGCAACUCGACUCCAUGAAGUCGGAAUCGCUAGUAAUCGUAGAUCAGAAUGCUACGGUGAAUACGUUCCCGGGUCUUGUACACACCG
rnacentral:rRNA from 1 species